UACGAAGGGGGCGAGCGUUGUUCGGAUUUACUGGGCGUAAAGGGCGCGCAGGCGGUCAUUUUUGUCGAGUGUGAAAGCCCCGGGCUUAACCUGGGAACUGCGCUCGAAACGGGAUGACUAGAGAUCGGGAGAGGAGAGUGGAAUUCCCAGUGUAGAGGUGAAAUUCGUAGAUAUUGGGAAGAACACCGGUGGCGAAGGCGGCUCUCUGGACCGAUACGUGACGCUGAGGCGCGAAAAGCGUGGGGGAGCAAACAG
rnacentral:rRNA from 1 species